AUUGAACGCUGGCGGAAUGCUUUACACAUGCAAGUCGAGCGGCAGCGCGGGGCAACCUGGCGGCGAGCGGCGAACGGGUGAGUAAUGCAUCGGAACGUACCCCGUCGUGGGGGAUAACUACCCGAAAGGGUAGCUAAUACCGCAUACGACCUGAGGGUGAAAGCGGGGGACCGAAAGGCCUCGCGCGAUGGGGAGCGGCCGAUGCCGGAUUAGCUAGUUGGUAGGGUAAAGGCCUACCAAGGCGACGAUCCGUAGCUGGUCUGAGAGGACGACCAGCCACACUGGAACUGAGACACGGUCCAGACUCCUACGGGAGGCAGCAGUGGGGAAUUUUGGACAAUGGGCGAAAGCCUGAUCCAGCCAUUCCGCGUGAGUGAAGAAGGCCUCGGUGUAAG
rnacentral:rRNA from 1 species